rnacentral:tRNA from 1 species
CAGGGAGACAUCACUGAUUUUGAUGCCUGAAUUAACUAUAUUUAGGCCAUAAUCCUGUCACCUUAGGUCGAUCGGUACCUCAGUUUGAAAUUUUAAAAACUAAGAAAUUAGGAUUUAAAAUUACUGAAUUCAGUUUCUAAACUUUGUCUAGGUCACACCCAGCAAGGGUACUCCUGGGCCAUUAGCUCAGGUGGUUAGAGCGCACCCCUGAUAAGGGUGAGGUCCCUGGUUCAAGUCCAGGAUGGCCCAUUCGGUGUUGGGGGUAUAGCUCAGUUGGUAGAGCGCCUGCUUUGCAAGCAGGAUGUCAGCGGUUCGAGUCCGCUUACCUCCACUGAUCCAACUCCUGACUAAACCAGUCCAAGGAGAAUCUUCUUUAUUGUGAUCUAGAACUUGUUCUUAUGAAUGAACCUAGCUUCUUGUCAAACCUUCUAAAAAUUUUUUUGUAUGGCUGAUAGGACGCUGGGCUCACUGCAAUAACCAUUGCAGGAAAGUUCAGCAGAACCUUGACAACUGCAUAGUGAGUCUGGAAAGAAUAAAGCAUCUCAUGGAUGCAUUGUUCUUUUAAACCAAACUUUAGUUCUCUGAAUUAUCAGAUAAUCUGAUUUGGUUUGAAAUUAUAAUGUUUAAUUCUUGAGCAAGAGCCGAGACUCUGGAAUGUUCCUUUCAUUUAUUUAAUGAGAGUUAGAUCUUUUGUUUUUCCUUUAUAUUAAGACUUUAGUUACUUUCUAUCGUUUUAAAUUAAAGCUUCGAAAACCAAAGAGAAAAGUGUUAUCAACACAUAGCAUUCUAGAGAUUAAU